rnacentral:rRNA from 1 species
UUUGAUCAUGGCUCAGAUUGAACGCUGGCGGGAUCCUUUUACACAUGCAAGUCGAACGGCAGCACGGACGGUCUGGUGGCGAGUGGCGAACGGGUGGUAAUGUAUCGGAACGUCCUAGUAGCGGGGGAUAACUACGCGAAAGCGUAGCUAAUACCACAUACGCCCUUCGGGGGAAAGCGGGGACCUUUGGGCCUCGCACUAUUGGAGCGGCCGAUAUCGGAUUGAAAGCUAGUUGGUGGGGUAACGGCUCACCAAGGCGACGAUCCGUAGCUGGUUUGAGAGGACGACCAGCCACACUGGGACUGAGACACGGCCCAGACUCCUACGGGAGGCAGCAGUGGGGAAUUUUGGACAAUGGGGGAAACCCUGAUCCAGCCAUCCCGCGUGUGCGAUGAAGGCCUUCGGGUUGUAAAGCACUUUUGGCAGGAAAGAAACGGCACGGGAUAAUACCCCGUGCAACUGACGGUACCUGCAGAAUAAGCACCGGCUAACUACGUGCCAGCAGCCAUGAUAUAAUACGUAGGGUGCAAGCGUUAAUCGGAAUUACUGGGCGUAAAGCGUGCGCAGGCGGUUCGGAAGAAAAGAUGUGAAAUCCCAGAGCUUAACUUUGGAACUGCAUUUUUAACUACCGAGCUAGAGUGUGUCAGAGGAGGUGGAAUUCCGCGUGUAGCAGUGAAAUGCGUAUGAUAUGCGGAGGAACACCGAUGGCGAAGGCAGCCUCCUGGGAUAACACUGACGCUCAUGCACGAAAGCGUGGGGGAGCAAACAGGAUUAGAUACCCUGGUAGUUCACGCCUAAACGAUGUCAACUAGCUGUUGGGGCCUUCGGGCCUUGGUAGCGCAGCUAACGCGUGAAGUUGACCGCCUGGGGAAGUACAGUCGCAAAGAUUAAAACUCCAAAGGAAUUGACGGGGACCCGCACAAGCGGUGGAUGAUGUGGAUUAAUUCGAUGCAACGCGAAAAACCUUACCUACCCGCUUGACAUGUCUGGAAUCCCGAAGAGAUUUGGGAGUGCUCGCAAAGAGAACCGGAACACAGAGUGCUGCAUGGCUGUCGUCAGCUCGUGUCGUGAGAUGUUGAGUUAAGUCCCGCAAUUUAUCUCAGUUGUUGCCGGUGAUGAUGUUGCGCAACCCUUGUCAUUAGUUGCUACGAAAGGGCAUCUAAUGAGACUGCCGGUGACAAACCGGAGGAAGGUGGGGAUGACGUCAGAGUCCUCAUGGCCCUUAUGGGUAGGGCUUCACACGUCAUACAAUGGUCGGGACAGAGGGUCGCCAACCCGCGAGAGGCCAAUCCCAGAAACCCGAUCGUAGUCCGGAUCAUGAUCUGCAACUCGACUGCGUGAAGUCGGAAUCGCUAGUAAUCGCGGAUCAGCAUGUCGCGGUGAAUACGUUCCCGGGUCUUGUACACACCGCCCGUCACACCAUGGGAGUGGGUUUUACCAGAAGUAGUUAGCCUAACCGUAAGGAGGGCGAUUACACCACGGUAAGUUCAUGACUGGGGUGAAGUCGUAACAAGAGUAG